UGCGUCCCAACAUCACCGCGCAUCAUUCAGAUCUUCAGUUCGGCGGGCGCACACCAGAGUUGGUUGUGCCCCCGCUGAACUCUCAAAGACCUAUUAAGGCCAUAUUCAGAUGGUGCAGAACCCAGUGAUGUUAUGCCAUGGGAAAAGUGACAUAUUUCAAAGUAUCCAAAUACAUAGAGGUUGAAGGGUCAUGAGGACUCGAAACGUCAACUCUUUUCUUCUCCGCCAAUGCUGCCAGACCUGCUGAGUUUUUCCAGAUCAGCCCCCCCCUACACUACGACAGGUGCAACACCUGCAGAAUUACUGAUGAGGCGUCAUCUUCGAAUAAGACUAAGUCUGAUACUUCCCAAUUUGAAGGGGAAGGUGAACAAAAGUCAAGGGAACCAAAAUGUGACUCAUGAUUUGCAUAGUCAUGAGAGGCAAUUUACUGUUAGUGAAGCAGUAUAUGUAAGGAA